CCUCCACCUGCUCCUCCACUUCUGAGUAACCCAACCACCACCACUACCACUGCUACUACAUCAUGUACAAGUUCAAGGUUCUCCUGCUGGUGGCGCUGAUGAUGGUGGCGGCGGAGGCGGGCUACUACGGUGGUCAUGGUGGCGGCGGGCGGUAUGUGGGUUGUCCAGUCCUCGUGCAGACCAAGACGGAGACGAAGACGACGACGGCGACGGCGACGGCGACUGUGACUUCGAAGGUGACGACGACCUCCACCACCACCGUGACGCUCAAGACGGAGGUGACGGUGGCCAAGGCGUGCGGCAGUUACGGUGGUUACCAUUACGGUUAAAAAGAAAGAAAAAGUCACCACCAGGCCCAGGAUCGUAUACCCGGACAAGACCAAGACCGAGAAUGCCCCCCUGGCCGCCUCGAGUGCCGUUACAAAGGCGAAACUCCCGACCGCCGCCUCCUCCUCCUCCUGCUUCUCCUCAUCCUCUCCCGUCCUCCUGCCCAGCUUUGGUCUCCACGCCUCCUCCCCUUCCACCACCACCACCACCGCUACUACCACCACCACGUAGGGAAAGUAGUAGUUGUGGUAGUAGUAGUAGUAGUAGUAGUUGCGUGUAGGAGUCUUUUGCUUGAUGUCAGUAUAUUAAAAAGUAGUCUUGUUUUU